AGACAGAGAACCCAGUACUGCUUAGUCUGAGAAGCUGGAAUCUGCAGGACAAGAAGGAUCAAGGAUGCAAUGUCAGACUGACACUGAUGGUCUGGACACACCAUGGGGAGUCACUGGCGCGAGUCCAUGUUGGAAGCUGAGGAAGCUGGAGGCUGAUGUCCACUGAGGACAGCAAUAGCAAAAGCUUCUUCUCAGUGGUGGAGAAUAUGGUAAGACCAGUGAAUUCCACAAGCAUGAGCCCAUUGCCUCACUUCUUUGGACAUGAAGGGCGUUCCUCGAUCAGAAGCAGUGCUGUAGGACUACCAUGGUGGUGGACGCAGCAUUCCAUAAUGAAUGGCAGUUUGGGGCAGCAGUAUCACAUGCAGGGAAGGCAAAUCAACACACAAAGUCGCAGGCUGAUCACCCCGGGGAAGAGUACCAUACCAGGACUCCUGCUGGUCUUCGCUGCUGGCAGACUGGGCA